rnacentral:rRNA from 1 species
CAGUAGCCACGGUAAUACGUAGGUGGCAAGCGUUGUCCGGAAUUAUUGGGCGUAAAGGGCUCGCAGGCGGUUUCUUAAGUCUGAUGUGAAAGCCCCCGGCUCAACCGGGGAGGGUCAUUGGAAACUGGGAAACUUGAGUGCAGAAGAGGAGAGUGGAAUUCCACGUGUAGCGGUGAAAUGCGUAGAGAUGUGGAGGAACACCAGUGGCGAAGGCGACUCUCUGGUCUGUAACUGACGCUGAGGAGCGAAAGCGUGGGGGGCGAACAGGAUUAGAUACCCCAGUAGUCCCUGUCUCUUAUAC